UGGGGGUGGUUGAGCCGAGGUCGUCAUGGUGUCAUUUUACAGUGGGAGUGUGUGUGAGCUCUCUUCUGGCAAUGAAUGGAGAUGGAAUGCGGACAAAAUGAUGGCCGUUGAUAGCGGCGAGGACGGAAAGACAAAGAGGGGGGUGGGUUAUCUGUCUUUGCUUUCAAUUGUUUUGAUAUCUCUCACUCACUUUUUUGAAUAAAAAUUCCUUGAUUAUGUUUUGGGUAUAUUUAUUUUUGAUUUAGUUGCUUUUUGGUAAUUUCAGGAGGGAAUGUGUCUGUUGGGCUGUUGGUUGGUUGGUUGCUGUGCUGAUGCUUGGUGGAGAGUGAGAGAGAUCAGAUUCCAUUCCCUCUCGUGAAGGUUUUCUUCGCUUUUUGCAUUCCCUCCUUUUAUGGGUUCCUAAUUCCACUUCCUCUAUCCCAUUUCAAAUUUAUAAUUUUUAUAUUUUAUUUAUUUGUAGAUAAUUUUCUUUUGAACUUGAAACAUCAAACAUGCUGUCCCCAUCUGUCCCGGCCCCAUUGGAUCCAUGUUUCACGUAGCUUGAAACACAUUUAUUAUGAAUUGGGCUCCUCUUAGACUUGCCUUAUCCUCCAAUUCUAGGCUUGAC
rnacentral:lncRNA from 1 species